UCAAGUGACUAAGUGCAUGCGGCGGAUGCCUUGGCGAUCACAGGCGAAGAAAGACGCGGCAGCCUGCGAAAAGCUGCGGGGAGCUGGCAAACGAGCUUUGAUCCGCAGAUAUCUGAAUGGGGGAACCCACACCGCAAGGUGUAUCCGUAGCUCAAUACAUAGGUUACGGAGGCGAACGAGGAGAACUGAAACAUCUAAGUAUCCUCAGGAAAAGAAAUCAACCGAGAUUCCGGCAGUAGCGGCGAGCGAACCCGGAGGAGCCCAGCUUUUGAUAGUACGAACUUUAGCCGAAAGGUCCUGGAAAGGCCUGCUAUAGUGGGUGAUAGCCCCGUAGGCGAAAGAGUUGGUACGGUACUAAGGAAGCGAGAAGUAGAGCGGGACACGUGGAAUCCUGUUCGAAGACGGGGGGACCAUCCUCCAAGGCUAAAUACUCGUGAUCGACCGAUAGUGAACCAGUACCGUGAGGGAAAGGCGAAAAGAACCCCGGGAGGGGAGUGAAAUAGAACCUGAAACCGCAUGCAUACAAACAGUAGGAGCCUCGUCAGAGGUGACUGCGUACCUUUUGCAUAAUGGGUCAGCGACUUACAUUCUGUGGCGAGCUUAACCGAAUAGGGGAGGCGCAGCGAAAGCGAGUUCGAAAUGAGCGUUCAGUCGCAGGGUGUAGACCCGAAACCAGAUGAGCUAUCCAUGGCCAGGUUGAAGGUGUGGUAACACACACUGGAGGACCGAACCGACUAGUGUUGCAAAAUUAGCGGAUGAGCUGUGGAUAGGGGUGAAAGGCCAAACAAAUCUGGAGAUAGCUGGUUCUCCCCGAAAACUAUUGAGGUAGUGCCUCGUGUGUCGCUCCAGGGGGUAGAGCACUGUUUUGGCUAGGGGGACAUGGAGUCUUACCAAACCAAGGCAAACUCCGAAUACCUGGAAGCGUAAGCACGGGAGACAGAGCACCGGGUGCUAACGUCCGGACUCAAAAGGGAAACAACCCAGACCGCCGGCUAAGGUCCCAAAUAACAGCUAAGUGGAAAACGAAGUGGAAAGGCCGUGACAACCAGGAAGUUGGCUUAGAAGCAGCCAUCCUUCAAAGAAAGCGUAAUAGCUCACUGGUCGAGUCCUUCUGCGCGGAAGAUGUAACGGGGCUAAGCUGUUAACCGAAGCCGCGGAUGCGCUGGUUAUCCAGUGCGUGGUAGGGGAGCGUUCUGUAAGUCUGCGAAGGCGGUUCGAGAGGACUGCUGGAGAUAUCAGAAGUGCGAAUGCUGACAUGAGUAACGUUAAAGCAGGUGAAAAGCCUGCUCGCCGUAAGCCCAAGGAUUCCUGCUCUACGUUCAUCGGAGCAGGGUGAGUCGGCUCCUAAGGUCAGGCCGAAAGGCGUAGCCGAUGGGAAUCAGGUUAAUAUUCCUGAACCUGCGUCAGAUGCGAUGGGGGGACGGAGCAUGGAAGAUCAUCCGGGUGUUGGAAGUCCCGGUUGUUUAGCGUAGGAGGUCUGCAGGCAAAUCCGCAGACGCAUCUCCAAGGCAAAGACACGUGCCGCCACGGCGGCGAAGUGAUCGGAAGUGCUUCCAAGAAAAGCCUCUAAGCACCAGUCUGAUGCGGACCGUACCGCAAACCGACACUGGUGGGCGAGCUGAAUAUGCUCAGGCGCUUGAGAGAACUCGGGAGAAGGAACUCGGCAAAUUGACACCGUAACUUCGGAAGAAGGUGUGCCGUAGUACCGUGAGAGGAGAGACACCUUGAGCGGGAAACGGUCUCAGAGAAUAGGUGGCUGCGACUGUUUAUUAAAAACACAGCACUCUGCAAAGUCGAAAGACGACGUAUAGGGUGUGAUGCCUGCCCGGUGCUGGAAGAUUAAUUGAUGGGGUGAGAGCCCUUGAUCGAAGUCCCAGUAAACGGCGGCCGUAACUAUAACGGUCCUAAGGUAGCGAAAUUCCUUGUCGGGUAAGUUCCGACCUGCACGAAUGGCAUAACGAUGGCCACACUGUCUCCUCCCGAGACUCAGUGAAGUUGAAAUGUUUGUGAUGAUGCAAUCUACCCGCGGCUAGACGGAAAGACCCCAUGAACCUUUACUGCAGCUUUGCAUUGAACUGUGAACCGAUUUGUGUAGGAUAGGUGGGAGGCAGAGAAGAGGCCACGCCAGUGGUCUUGGAGCCGACCUUGAAAUACCACCCUGAUUUGUUUGCGGUUCUAACCACGGACAGUGAUCCUGUCUUGGGACCGUGCAUGGUAGGCAGUUUGACUGGGGCGGUCUCCUCCUAAAGGGUAACGGAGGAGUACGAAGGUACGCUAGGUACGGUCGGAAAUCGUGCUGAUAGUGCAAUGGCAAAAGCGUGCUUGACUGCGAGAGCAACAACUCGAGCAGAUGCGAAAGCAGGUCAUAGUGAUCCGGUGGCUCUGAAUGGAAGGGCCAUCGCUCAACGGAUAAAAGGUACUCUGGGGAUAACAGGCUGAUACCGCCCAAGAGUUCAUAUCGACGGCGGUGUUUGGCAC
rnacentral:rRNA from 1 species